AGCGAACGCUGGCGGCAGGCCUAACACAUGCAAGUCGAACGAAGUCUUCGGACUUAGUGGCGGACGUGUGAGUAACACGUGGGAACGUGCCUUUAGGUUCGGAAUAACCCAGGGAAACUUGUGCUAAUACCGAAUGUGCCCUUCGGGGGAAAGAUUUAUCGCCUUUAGAGCGGCCCGCGUCUGAUUAGCUAGUUGGUGAGGUAAAGGCUCACCAAGGCGACGAUCAGUAGCUGGUCUGAGAGGAUGAUCAGCCACAUUGGGACUGAGACACGGCCCAAACUCCUACGGGAGGCAGCAGUGAGGAAUCUUGCGCAAUGGGCGAAAGCCUGACGCAGCCAUGCCGCGUGAAUGAUGAAGGUCUUAGGAUUGUAAAAUUCUUUCACCGGGGACGAUAAUGACGGUACCCGGAGAAGAAGCCCCGGCUAACUUCGUGCCAGCAGCCGCAGUAACAC
rnacentral:rRNA from 1 species